rnacentral:rRNA from 1 species
GGCCUACCAUGGUGGUAACGGGUGACGGAGGAUUAGGGUUCGAUUCCGGAGAGGGAGCCUGAGAAAUGGCUACCACUUCUAAGGAAGGCAGCAGGCGCGCAAAUUACCCAAUCCCGACACGGGGAGGUAGUGACAAUAAAUAACAAUACAGGCGCUCGAUAAGAGUCUUGUAAUUGGAAUGAGUACAAUUUAAACCCCUUAACGAGUAACAAUUGGAGGGCAAGUCUGGUGCCAGCAGCCGCGGUAAUUCCAGCUCCAAUAGCGUAUAUUAAAGUUGUUGCAGUUAAAAAGCUCGUAGUUGAACUUCGGGAUCAAUGGAUUGGUCAUGCCGAUGGUAUGUACUGGUCAUAUUGGUUCUCACCUUCUAAGGAACCAUAAUGUCAUUUAUUUGAUGUUGUGGGGAAUUAGGACUGUUACCUUGAAAAAAUUAGAGUGUUUAAAGCAGGCUUUCGCUUGAAUACAUUAGCAUGGAAUAAUGAAAUAGGACGUUUGAUUCUAUUUUGUUGGUUUCUAGGAUCGACGUAAUGAUUAAUAGGGAUAGUUGGGGGCAUUAGUAUUCAAUUGUCAGAGGUGAAAUUCUUGGAUUUAUUGAAGACUAACUACUGCGAAAGCAUUUGCCAAGGAUGUUUUCAUUAAUCAAGAACGAAAGUUAGGGGAUCGAAGACGAUCAGAUACCGUCGUAGUCUUAACCAUAAACUAUGCCGACUAGGGAUCGGAUGAUGUUAAUUUUUUAAUGACUCAUUCGGCGCCUUACG